UAAGGAGCACCACGAGAAGCGCCUCAAUUGGUGGGGCGCAAGCCGUGAGGGGUUCUCGCCUGUAGUGGGCGGGAGCCGGGUGCACAACAACAAGCGAACGGCCAGACACACUAUUGGGCCCUGAGGCAACACUCGGUUCGUUCUGAGUGCUGUCCCCCCAUCUUGGUGGUGGGGUGUGGUGUUUGAGUAUUGGAUAGUGGUUGCGAGCAUCUAGGCGGAUGCGUUGCCGGCAACGGCGGCGUAUUCGUCAAAAUGUGUAAUUUUUCUUUUGGUUUUUGUG
rnacentral:misc_RNA from 1 species